GACGAACGCUGGCGGCGUGCUUAACACAUGCAAGUCGAACGGAAAGGCCCUGCUUUUGUGGGGUGCUCGAGUGGCGAACGGGUGAGUAACACGUGAGUAACCUGCCCUUGACUGUGGGAUAACUUCAGGAAACUGGGGCGAAUAUCCGAUAGGAGCUCCUGCUGCAUGGUGGGGGUUGGUAAGUUUCGGCUGUUGGGGAUGGACUCGCGGGUUAUCAGCUUGUUUGUGGGGUAGUUGCUUACCAAGGCUUUGACGGGUAGCCGGCCUGAGAGGGUGACCGGCCACAUUGGGCCUGAGAGACGGAGCAGACUCCUACGGGCGGCAGCAGUGGGGAAUAUUGCACAAUGGGCGGAAGUCUGAUGCAGAAACCCCGCGUGCGGGAUGACGGCCUUCGGGUUGUAAACCGCUUUCGACUGUGACGAAGAGUGAGUGACGGUAAUGGGUAAAGAAGCACCGGCUAACUACGUG
rnacentral:rRNA from 1 species